rnacentral:rRNA from 1 species
CUGGCGGCGUGCUUAACACAUGCAAGUCGAACGAUGAAGCCCAGCCUGCUGGGUGGAUUAGUGGCGAACGGGUGAGUAACACGUGAGUAACCUGCCCUUAACUCUNGGAUAAGCCUGGGAAACUNGGUCUAAUACCGGAUAGGAGCGUCCACCGCAUGGUGGGUGUUGGAAAGAUUNAUCGGUUUUGGAUGGACUCGCGGCCUAUCAGCUUGUUGGUGAGGUAAUGGCUCACCAAGGCGACGACGGGUAGCCGGCCUGAGAGGGUGACCGGCCACACUGGGACUGAGACACGGCCCAGACUCGUACGGGAGGCAGCAGUGGGGAAUAUUGCACAAUGGGCGAAAGCCUGAUGCAGCGACGCCGCGUGAGGGAUGACGGCUUUCGGGUUGUAAACCUCUUUCAGUAGGGAAGAAGCGAAAGUGACGGUACCUGCAGAAGAAGCACCGGCUAACUACGUGCCAGCAGCCGCGGUAAUACGUAGGGUGCGAGCGUUAUCCGGAAUUAUUGGGCGUAAAGAGCUCGUAGGCGGUUUGUCGCGUCUGUCGUGAAAGUCCCGGGCUUAACCCCGGAUCUGCGGUGGGUACGGGCAGACUAGAGUGCAGUAGGGGAGACUGGAAUUCCUGGUGUAGCGGUGGAAUGCGCAGAUAUCAGGAGGAACACCGAUGGCGAAGGCAGGUNUCCUGGGCUGUAACGAC